rnacentral:miRNA from 1 species
ACAGUCUAGCUUAGGGGUUUAG